GGGAAUUUUCCGCAAUGGGCGAAAGCCUGACGGAGCAAUACCGCGUGAGGGAGGAAGGCUCUUGGGUUGUAAACCUCUUUUCUCAGGGAAGAACAGAAUGACGGUACCUGAGGAAUAAGCAUCGGCUAACUCCGUGCCAGCAGCCGCGGUAAUACGGAGGAUGCAAGCGUUAUCCGGAAUGAUUGGGCGUAAAGGGUCCGCAGGUGGCAUUGUAAGUCUGCUGUUAAAGAGUUUGGCUCAACCAAAUAAGAGCAGUGGAAACUACAAAGCUAGAGUGUGGUCGGGGCAGAGGGAAUUCCUGGUGUAGCGGUGAAAUGCGUAGAUAUCAGGAAGAACACCAGUGGCGAAGGCGCUCUGCU
rnacentral:rRNA from 1 species